GCCGCCCCCUCGCCCGCUCCCGCCCAGCGCAGAGCCCCGCGCCGCCUCCUCCCCUCGGGGAGAAGGGAAAGAGCAGGCCAUGGCCCGGAAGGCAAGCUCUAGGCCUGGUGUGGAACUUGAACUCAUGACCCUGAGACAAAGAGUCACAUACUCUAACGACUGAGCCACCCAGGCACCGCUUUCUCAAAGAGACAGAGAGAGAGCAUGAGAGGAGAGAAGGUCAGAGGGAGAAGCAGACUCCUUGCUGAGCAGGGAGCCUGAUGCGGGACUCGAUCCCAGGACUCCAGGAUCACGACCUGAGCUGAAGGAGUCGCCCAACCAGCCAAGCCACCCAGGUGCCCAAGAUGCUCUUAUUUUAGAAGAACCACUUUACCUUUUGUCCCAGAGGAAAGAACCUGCUGCACGUACCACAGACUUGGUUCUGCACUAAAGAGCACUGUGACCUUGUGGUCAUGAUUCAACUGUGAAAUGAGAGAUGCCAUGAGGGCCUUUCUAGUUCCUUCUGUCCAUUUUCUCCAUGUCCAUCACUUCUAAUGAGUGAGGUGAGACAGAAGGUUGCUUGAGAGGGAGCCUCUGGGCUUUCCCCCAAUCUGAGAGACUCGUGGCCUCCUAAUAAGUGUCUCCCAGUGUAAGGGUAUCAGUGUGACAGCAGGUGAAACCAGAGGAGGCCGCCAGGACACCUGCACUGGCUCUGAACUCGACUGCUAGGUUCUGAUUUGUACCGGAGCAGACAGGGAAAUAGGACCAAAUUCAGCUGGGAGCUGCUGGCACCAGAGGCCGACAAGGUGGGCAGGGCCACAUUCCUCAGAAGGCAGAGCUGAGUCACCAAGGCAGAAACCAGGCUAUGAGUAAGUUUCUCUCAGUCCUCAAACAGAAGCCGGGGCCACCAGGGAGCAGAGUGGAGCUGGCGAGGGUGAGGCCGGCUGGACAGUCUGGGCUGGACACACGCCUCAUUGCCAUGGGCGUCUCCUUUCAAAAUGAAAAAACAGACUCUUUCUAGCUACUCUAUCUGGAGAUCUGUAUCAGUCCAAGAUGAGGGAGGUAUGCGAGCUCAUUGCCAGCACAUUUGAGUUUAACCCACCUCUUUACCGACCCUGUUUGGGCAACGGAUGUGUAAAGGGAAACACUGCAAUUUCACCUGCCCCAAGCUCCCCAGGGCCCAUCGUCAACAGGAGUGAUGGCAAUGGAUCAAAGUCUCACUAGCUAACCUGCCGGAUGGGUCCUAGUCGACUGGCACCAGGCUGUGGGGUGACCCCAGGGACCAUUGUCCUCCAGGACCAACGCACAGCGAGCGAGAGAAUUACUGUUAACAGCGCUGAGCUUGGAUCUCUGCUCUAUCCCUUAGCAGCCAAAAGACCUCAGCUCUCUCCAAGAUAAGAAUACCCGCACUAUAAAGGUUAAGACAAUUAAAGGAGGCUGUGCCUGCAGAGCAGCUAGCAGAUGGCAAGCCCAAAAAUAAAUUAAACUGGUCUGUUCGAUCUGGAACCAGAUAAGGAAUGCUCCGUCUACAUUUUCCAGCUGAUACUGCAGAAGGUCAAGUGACAAUAUUUUGGAGAUCACUCUGCCAGAAGCUCGCUUUAAGAAUUAAAAGUUUCAGGGCGCCUGGGUGGCUCAGUGGGUUAAGCCUCUGCCUUUGGCGCAGGUCAUGAUCUCAGGGUCCUGGGAUUGAGCCACACAUCAGGCUCUCUGCUCAGCGGGGAGCCUGCUUCCCCCCCUCUCUCUGCCUGCCUCUUCCUACUUGUGAUCUCUGUCAAAUAAAAUCUUUUAAGUUUUGGGGUGCCUGGGUGGCUCAGUUGGUUGGGUGGCUAACUGCCUUUGGCUCAGGUCAUGAUCCUGCAGUCCUGGGAUCCAGUCCUGCAUCCCCCCCCCCUUUACUCAGCAGGGAGUCUGCUGCUCCCUCUGACCUUCCCCCUUCUCAUGCUUGCUCUCUCUCUCCCUCUCUCUCAAAUAAAUAAAACCUUUAGGGAAAAAAAAAAAAAGAAUUAGAAUUAGAAGUUUCGGUUUUUUUCAUGGCUUUCCUGGCAGCAAUCUGAGUAGUCAAGGGAGGAGGAAGAGGCAGACAGGGAAGUGCCGAUGGUUACAAAGCAGCAGCCUGUUCAACGAGUGUGUCCCACGGUGCUUCCUGGCCCCAGGUUUGUAAAAUACACGGUCAUUAUAUUUGAGCAUCCUAAGCAAGAUGCAUGCAUCAUAUAUGUACACAUGAAUAUUUACAGACAUACAUGAAAUGUUACCUUCACUGCACUAUGCAUGUAAACCAGCAUUAUGCUCAUUUAGGGUGGACUCUAACAUUAGCCCCUGAGUUUACUCUCACACAUGUAGCCAGACACUAAAAAUACUUAAAACACCAAUGAAAACCACCCCCAGACACAAAGCUCUGUAGGCAGAGGUCAGAGAAAAAAAAACCCUUCAGUGAGAAAACAGCACCUCCUAGUGGCAGGUCAUUAAAGAAACAGAAGUCAAGGCUGGAAAACACCUCUGAAAAUCCAGCCACAAAUCCGACUCCUUGUUUCCAGUUUCAAAAAGAAGUCUCAUAUUAAUAAAUAUCAGUAACCCAAAUUCAAUUUUGUUGGGCAAAACACUCAGCUAACUUUCCCUCUUACUUUUUAAACUAACCAUGAUCAAAUAAAUGAUUGCUACAGAUUUACAGGAAGUCAGUAACAGGAAGUCAAUAGUAAUUUUUUUUUUGGUCAAUAGUAAAAUUAAAGUGUCAUGUGUAAACUCAGACUUGUCUUUGUGAAAAGGGAUUAAGAGAAAUAGUAAACUAAAGCAAGCAGCUCUUCUGAAAUUUUACUUACAAAAUUCACCAAAAAGGCUGCAAGAUAAAAAGCAAAGCAAGCCCUCAGAUUAUAGACUGAAACUACAUGGGAAAUUUUGAAGAAAAAAAAAUCAGAGAAGUCCAACCAAAUUAGCAUUUUAGAAAACUUAAAACAUGGUGGAGGAAAUUAAUGGAAAUAAUAAUGAAAGAAUAGUUCCCUUGGUUUUCAUUUUUUUAAUAAAGAUUUUUUUUUAAGAUUUUUAUUUAUCUAUUUGUCAGAAGCACAGACAACUACAGGCAGAACAGGCAGAGCAGGCAGAGGGAGAAGCAGGCUCCCUGCUGAGCAAGGAGCCUGAUGUGCGACUUGAUCACAGGACCUUGGGAUCAUGACCUGAGCUGAAGGCAGACAUGAAGACAUGACUGAGCCACACAGGCAUCCCAGUUUUCAUAAUCUCUACACUCAACUUGGGGUUCACCACACUGACAUCAAGAGUCACUCGCUCUACCGACUGAGCCUGCCAGGAGCCCCUCCCUUAGUUUUUAUAAAUGAAAAAAUGGAAUUCAAGCCUAAGAGCCAAAUUGCUUGAGUGGCCAGAUUUCUGUCCCUGUGGCAGAGCUUGGAACCUUCUAGGGAGGGCAGAAUGGCUACCGCGAUCAUCACGGAUUAACACCACGCCAAUGAAAACAAGGAGUCUUGGUGGAAGUUAAAGUAUUUAUUGAUGUGUUUCAACUGUACAUUCUCCACAAAUCAGAUUAAGGAGUUUGUAGGUGAAGUUUAUCUGUGCAUAGUGGGAAGACACAUGGAUAAGGGAGGAGGGGGGAAGAAAGGAAAAAAAAAAAACCCUAAAAAACAAAAAAACGGUCACAGGGAAAUAGAAAAAAAUACACCACAGGUUACCAGAACCUCCAGACUAAAAUAAAAAAAGGAGAAGAAAGAAAAAAA